CCUACGGGAGGCAGCAGUGAGGAAUAUUGGUCAAUGGGCGCGAGCCUGAUCCAGCCAAGUAGCGUGAAGGAUGACUGCCCUACGGGUUGUAAACUCCUUUUAUAAAGGAAUAAAGUGAGGAACGUGUGCCUUUGUGCAUGUACUUUAUGAAUAAGGAACGGCUAACUCCGUGCCAGCAGCCGCGGUAAGACGGAGGAUCCGAGGGUGAUCCGGAUUUACUGGGUUGAAAGGGUGCGUAGGGUGUUUGUUAAGUCAGCGGUGAAAGCUUGUGGCUCAACCAUAGAAUUGCCGUUGAAACUGGAAGGCUUGAGUGUGUUAGAGGUAGGCGGAAUGCGUGGUGUAGCGGUGAAAUGCGUAGAUAUCACGAGGAAUUCCGAUUGCGAAGGCAGCUUACU
rnacentral:rRNA from 1 species